CCUACGGGUGGCAGCAGUGAGGAAUAUUGGUCAAUGGGCGGAAGCCUGAACCAGCCAAGUCGCGUGAGGGAUUAAGGCCCUGCGGGUCGUAAACCUCUUUUGCCGGGGAGCAGAGGUCCGGACGUGUCCGGGCCGGGAGAGUACCCGGAGAAAAAGCAUCGGCUAACUCCGUGCCAGCAGCCGCGGUAAUACGGAGGAUGCGAGCGUUAUCCGGAUUUAUUGGGGUUAAAGGGUGCGUAGGCGGGCAUUUAAGCCGGCGGUCAAAUGUCGGGGCUCAACCCCGGCCUGCCGUCGGAACUGGGUGCCUUGAGUGGGCGAGAAGUAUGCGGAAUGCGUGGUGUAGCGGUGAAAUGCAUAGAUAUCACGAAGAACUCCGAUUGCGAAGGCAGCAUACCGGCUCCAUACUGACGCUGAGGCACGAAAGCGUGGGGAUCGAACAGGAUUAGAUACCCUUGUAGUC
rnacentral:rRNA from 1 species